GUUCAAAAGUGCGCCAUUUUCGCGAACUUUAGUUUAAAAGAAAAUUUAAUUAAAAAGGAAUUGCCGGUAAUCGAUUUUUACUUAAAGAAUCGAAACAUCCUGUAAUUGGGAUUCCCUGUCCCGGUGGACCAUCAUCUGUCGAUUCUGUGCGAGAAUUUCGAUAACGCUAACAGUAGUGCGCUGAUGUUGAACGGCCCUCCUUUGACGGAGGACCGUUCAACACUAUCCGGAUAAGCUGCGAUGGCCAUCCUUGCAGAAGUCGCCCGAAAAUCUUCCAUCCGCCGCACCAAAAGUUGUUGAAACAUGCCGCGAUGGUGUGGGUUCCCAUUCAGCCAUCGACGCCGAUGGCUGGAAUCGUAUCCGUCGAGAGAGUUUCCCCGUCGAUUCAAGAUCUCCGACGAGUAAGGAUGUUGAGGCUGGUUGAUAUGCCGCACGCACAGCCAAUCGACCAACAAUUUCGGCAUUGUGCGUUACUGGCAAAGAGCUGGUGCUUCGCUGACUACCCAUCAUCUACGCCGUCACCCAAGACGAACAGGACAUCAGAUUGAAGUGCCUGGAAGCCACUCUGCAGAUUUUUAAGAAAUCCGAAAUCGGAGGAAAUAUUGGUCUAAUUUCGGAAACAAAAGGGCGGCGUAGCUUCCGGUACAACCUGUCCGAGACACUCACAAUGGCAACGAUUUAAAAGUUGCUCCCACAUCUGGAACGGGACACAGCAUUGCUGAAGAGCAUCAUCUCCGCGGCCAAGUACAAAUAAUUUGAGUCAUCGUUGAACUGACCGACUAACUGGUGGUUGCUCGAACUUCUAACCAAAGGCCCUAGAUCUUUAAGUACAACCUGCCUUGAAA